GACGAACGCUGGCGGCGUGCCUAAUACAUGCAAGUAGGACGCAGUUGCGAACGGGUGAGUAACGCGUCGGUAACUGCCUAUUAGAGGGGGAUAACUAUUGGAAACGCUAGCUAAUACCGCAUACUAGUAGAUGGACCUGCGUUGUAUUAGCUAGUAGGUAGGGGAAUGGCCUACCGAGGCGACGAUACAUAGCCGACCGGGGAGGGUGAUCGGCCACACUGGGACUGAGACACGGCCCAGACGCCUACGGGAGGGAGCAGUAGGGAAUCUUCGGCAAUGGGGGGAACCCUGACCGAGCAACGCCGCGUGAGUGAAGAAGGUUUUCGGAUCGGAAAGCUCUGUUGUUAAGGAAGCGGUACUUAACCAGAAAGGGACGGCUAACUACGUGCCAGCCGCCGCGGUAAUAC
rnacentral:rRNA from 1 species